UUAAGUUCAGCGGGUAUCCCUACCUGAUCCGAGGUCAAGAGUGUAAGAAAUGACUUUUGGAUGCCGUCGUUAUGAGUACAAAGCGCAAAUUGUGCUGCGCUCCGAAAACAAUACGCCGGCUGCCAAUUGUUUUAAGGCGAGUCUACACGCAGAGGCGAGACAAACACCCAACACCAAGCAAAGCUUGAAGGUACAAAUGA
rnacentral:misc_RNA from 1 species